rnacentral:rRNA from 1 species
UUUGGUGAUGAUGGCAGAGAGGUCACACCCGUUCCCAUACCGAACACGGAAGUUAAGCUCUCUAGCGCCGAUGGUAGUUGGACCUUGUCCCUGUGAGAGUAGGACGUCGCCAAGC